UCAAAACAUUUCCUUAAGCAUGUCAAAAUAUUCAAAAUAGUAUUUAUCAAAAUCUUUUUAUCAUUCGUUAGCAGUUUUAACUGUAAGGUUAUAAACAAUCCAUUUUAAUCAUGAAACAUCAAAAAAAUUAAAACUUUAAUAUGUAAAAACAUAACAAAAAUUUAAACAAUAUGUAUGAUGUCUAAAUUUUUAAGAAGUUCAAAAUUUAUUUACAUGUUGAUAUAUUUAAGUUAUGGUAAUACUUUAGUCAUAUUAGACAUGUGGCCAUUUUCCCUAGAUUUAACAGUUAACAUAAAAUUAGCCUCUC
rnacentral:lncRNA from 1 species